rnacentral:rRNA from 1 species
GAUGAACGCUGGCGGCGUGCCUAAUACAUGCAAGUCGAGCGAACAGAUGAGGAGCUUGCUCCUCUGACGUUAGCGGCGGACGGGUGAGUAACACGUGGAUAACCUACCUAUAAGACUGGGAUAACUUCGGGAAACCGGAGCUAAUACCGGAUAAUAUAUUGAACCGCAUGGUUCAAUAGUGAAAGACGGUUUUGCUGUCACUUAUAGAUGGAUCCGCGCCGCAUUAUCUAGUUGGUAAGGUAACGGCUUACCAAGGCAACGAUGCGUAGCCGACCUGAGAGGGUGAUCGGCCACACUGGAACUGAGACACGGUCCAGACUCCUACGGGAGGCAGCAGUAGGGAAUCUUCCGCAAUGGGCGAAAGCCUGACGGAGCAACGCCGCGUGAGUGAUGAAGGUCUUCGGAUCGUAAAACUCUGUUAUUAGGGAAGAACAAAUGUGUAAGUAACUAUGCACGUCGUGACGGUACCUAAUCAGAAAGCCACGGCUAACUACGUG